rnacentral:lncRNA from 1 species
UGGCGCCAUAUCGAUUAUCCAAACGCAAAAGGAGCAGUGUAUUACUCCAUCGCCGUUCGUUCGCGCAGCCAUCUCCAUUGUCAUGGCUUCCAAACUCAGCGUCAUCGCCGCAGUCCUCUUGCUGAACCUUCUCUUGGCAACCUCGGUUUCUGCGCAGGGGGAAAGACCAUGGUGGUUUCCUCGCCCUCGUCCGCCACCUCCGCCCCUCCGUCGCCACCACCUCCUUCUCCGUCGCCACCACCUCCUUCUCCGUCGCCACCGCCUCCUUCUCCGUCGCCACCGCCUCCUUCUCCGUCACCGCCGCCUCCUUCUCCGUCGCCACCGCCUCCUUCUCCGUCGCCACCGCCUCCUUCUCCGUCGCCACCGCCUCCUUCUCCGUCACCGCCGCCUCCUUCUCCGUCACCGCCGCCUCCUUCACCGUCGCCACCACCACCCUCUCCAUCGCCACCACCACCCUCUCCAUCGCCACCACCUCCUUCUCCGUCACCACCGCCUCCUUCUCCGUCGCCACCGCCUCCUUCUCCGCCACCACCGCCUCCUUCUCCGUCGCCACCCCCCCCACCGAGGUCCUGCCCCAUUUUCGCUUUCAGAUUGGCCGUGUGUGCUCCCGUCGUCAACCGUCUCAGGCUCGGGUUUCGAGCCUCUCAGUUUCCGUGCUGCAGGGUGAUCAACAGUCUCUCCGAUCAACAGGCCACCGCAUGCCUAUGUCUU